AGCUUACAAUAAUUUUAGAAAUUGGAUCAGUUUAUUAUAAAAGUGAACUAUCUUCUUUAUACGAAAUGUUACAAUUUAUACAAUCAUAUAAUUUUGAAGAUUCAAUUUGACCUAAUUUUAAUAUUUGUAUAAGUUUGAAUGCUCAAUUUUGAGAUUUCAGGGUCCGUUUGGUAACGUUCCCGUUUCCCGUUUUCCAUUUAUGUUUCUAAUUUUUUUUAAGAAACAGACGUGUUUGGUAACGUUCUUGUUUUUUGUUUCGAAAAUAAUUAGGAAACGUUUUUGGUUUAAUAAGAAAUUUGUGGAAAUAAUAAAAAAGAGUUUCUCCUCGUUCCGUUCCUAUUCUCUCCUUCCAUUUCUCCUCUUCGUUCUCGGGCUUUUUUCUCCCACGAUUCUUCUUCUCUCUUUAUUCUCCGUUUAUUCUCCAGCUCUCUUCGUGCUCUGUUUCUUUUUUGUUCUCCAACUAAAGGUAUGACAUCCCUCUUUCUCUUGUCGAUUUUACUGAUGGAUUUUUCUUUCAGAUCUUUUUUUUUGCUGAGAAUGAUCAGAGGCGUUUGUUGUGAUUCUGUGUGUUUUUUUAUGGCUCUUAAUCCCUCUUUCUCUUGCUAGAUUGUUUUCCCUUUUUGUGUUCUAUGUUAAGGGAAAUUGAGAAAUUCAUGGUUUUAAAAAGGGAUGCUAGAAAUCCAUGGUUUUAAAAGACUCUCAAUCCUUCUUUCUCAUGAUGGGUUUUUUUUUAGAUCUGUUCUUUUUUUUUUUUGCUGGUGUUGUGUUUCUAUGUUUUUUUUAUAGUCUCAAUCCAUAAUUACUAUUACAUUCUAGAUGUCACAAAAAUCAACUGAAUAACUUUGUGUCGAUGACGUUGUUGAGAUUGCUGGAUUAAAAGGUGAGGGACCAUGGUCAAAUAAGAGUGAAGUUUCGUUUGUAGACUUAAUGGAUGAAGAGGUUGUAAAAGGCAAUCUACCAACUACAACAUUUACAAAGACUAGUUGGAAUCAUAUGAGAAACCAACUAAAUGCUAGUACAAGAUAUAAUUAUUCUCAUGAUCAAUUGAAAAAUAAGUUCAACAAAUUAAGACAAAUUUACAAAGACUUCAAAAAAAUAUUGAGUGAUAUGACAGGAAAUGGUUGAGAUCCAUUAUUAGGUACCAUCAAUCUUGAAGAGGAACAAUGUAACGAGCUUUUUAAGGUGAAUAAGAGAGCUAAAAAGUUUAGAAAAAGUGGUUGCCCACAUUAUGAAAAGCUCGUAAGGAUUUUUGGAGAUACUACUACAACAGGUGUAAAUGCUUGCCCGUCAACAAGACUUAUUUCAUAUUCUGAAGAUGAAAAUGAAAAUGAUGUUGCAAGCAACACAAAUGUUGGUGUUGAAGAGAAUGAUAAAGGAAAAAGCAAAAAACGAGUUCGAAGAAAUAGAGACGAAUUUGGCAGUUUCUUCUCAUCAUUCUUAGAUGUAUAUGCGGAGAAUGUAAAGAGAAAGAAUGACAUCCUUGAGAAAAAAUCUUUUGGUUGUACAUGUAGUGAAGUUGAUGAGAGUCAAACAUCAAGUAAAAAAGAUGAUCUCCAUGAAGAGUUGAUGGAAUGUUUAGACAUUUUAAAUAUAAUGGAGGAUGUUGAUGGAGAGGCUUAUUCCAAAAUACUGAAACUCUUGCACAGAGAUCUUGCUUGGAGAAAGCUAUUUUUGCGUAUGCCCGAUUCAAGGAAGAGAGAUUUCAUAAAUAGUCUUUAGAUGUCACUUAGGAAUUGUUUUAGGAUUAUGUCAUCUACUUUUUAAUAUUAGACUUGAACAUAGAUUUUGUAUGUUUGACAUUAUGGUUUGGGAAAGUUACAUAAAUUUUCUUUUCUCUUC